rnacentral:lncRNA from 1 species
CUUACCAAGAUACUGUUGAAAGUCAGUACAAUAUUUCAGAGCCCUUAACCAAAGCCAACAAUCUCACUCCGACAGCCACGAGAUCAGUACAGUGGCAUACCGCCAUUAAUUUUUUCACAUUUAUUAUUUCAGGCUACCCAAGGAAAUACAAGUCUGUCCUUGAAAGAUCUAAACAAAUCCAAAAAAAUACCUAAAAAGGAUUUUAGUUUCAAAAGGAACACACGUUCAGAAACCCUAAUGGCUUUGAUACUAGUUUUGUUGAAAUUUUAUCACAAAAAGUGUCAAUUUGAUGAACGAUAUAAAAUAAAUAGAUAAAUAAAUAAAAAUCACCGCAUUUAAAAACAUAAAGAACAAAAUAAUUGUUCACCAAAUUCAGCAAAAGCUUAAUUUUGGGGCUCACGGAUUAGCACGAUCACUAAGUUUAACCAAAAACCUUUCAAAGAGAUUAUAGAGUACAUCAAACCAAAUCAGACCAAGAUUUAGUCGUGAAUCCACAAGAGGAUCUCUUAAAUCGCACAAAUUCAGCCACUAUUUCAGUUCUGAAUUAUUGUAGCAAAUCUAAUCAACAAGGAUUAUACAACUAGUUUAGAAUCUCAUAAGACAUUAAAGACCAGAACGAAGACGGAGAAGAAGACUGAAAGGCUCGAUAGAAAAAUCUAGAAACUAAGUAGAAGUUCAAGUGAAACAAUUGUGCUAUAUGUACACAACGUCGGUGUACAAGCCCCUCACACCAGCGGGGUCCACGUAUCUUU